GCCAGCAUGGUGGUGUGGUUUGAGCAUUGGACUACAACUCCAGAGAUCAGGGUUCGAAUCCUGGCUUGGCC